rnacentral:rRNA from 1 species
AACGAACGCUGGCGGCAGGCUUAACACAUGCAAGUCGAACGCCCCGCAAGGGGAGUGGCAGACGGGUGAGUAACGCGUGGGAACAUACCCUUUUCUACGGAAUAGCUCUGGGAAACUGGAAUUAAUACCGUAUACGCCCUACGGGGGAAAGAUUUAUCGGGGAAGGAUUGGCCCGCGUUGGAUUAGCUAGUUGGUGGGGUAAAGGCCUACCAAGGCGACGAUCCAUAGCUGGUCUGAGAGGAUGAUCAGCCACAUUGGGACUGAGACACGGCCCAAACUCCUACGGGAGGCAGCAGUGGGGAAUAUUGGACAAUGAGCGCAAGCCUGAUCCAGCCAUGCCGCGUGAGUGAUGAAGGCCUUAGGGUUGUAAAGCUCUUUCACCGAUGAAGAUAAUGACGGUAGUCGGAGAAGAAGCCCCGGCUAACUUCGUG